UACGUAGGAUCCAAGCGUUAUCCGGAUUCAUUGGGUUUAAAGGGUGCGUAGGCGGAAUAGUAAGUCAGUGGUGAAAUCCUGUCGCUUAACGACAGAACUGCCAUUGAUACUGCUAAUCUUGAGUACAUUUGAAGUGGGCGGAAUGUGUAGUGUAGUGGUGAAAUACUUAGAUAUUGCACAGAACACCGAUUGCGAAGGCAGCUCACUAAACUGUAACUGACGCUGAGGCACGAAAGCGUGGGGAUCAAACAGG
rnacentral:rRNA from 1 species